UUGUGUUGUGAUUGGCUUUUGUUGCCUUCCUUUGUAGCAAAUGUACCCUGAUUCCACAAGGCUUUUGAUACCUAGGAGGGGUCUUUUUUCUAGAAUGAGUAGUUUUCAUAUUAUCAUUUGUUUUUACUAUUUUCUUUUACGACAAUUGUGCCUUGAUUCCGAAGGUUCUUGAUACCUAGAAGGGGUCACUUUGCCAAGAAUAAAAUGGCCUGAACAUGAUGAAAUGAUGUUGCAUGGGUACUUCUUUUCGUCAUAAUCCCCUUUCCUGGUCUCGCCCCUCUUCUAACUUUGCCCUUCAUAAAAAUCUCUGUGUGCUUCUUUUUGGUCUUUGUUGUUUCGUAGUUUCCUACCUCACAACAAAGAGGGGCAGUUGUUAGCACCCGAUUUUUGCUCGGUCCGCCGCCUAAGCCUCCAAUUCACCCCAAACACCCGAUCAGACCCUUCCGACCCAUCCAAAACAUCCGAAAACCCAGAAAACCCAAAUUUCACGCCGAGAGCCCUUAGAUCCACCGUUAAACCUGCCCGAUACCUAUCCAAUGACCCCGGUCGACCCUUACUUACACCUUAACCAUUAGAUCAGACACAACCAUCAGACUUGUAACAUCCUAAAACACCUACCCAUGAAAUUUGAACUCAAUAUUCCUUUGUUCACCCGUCCAUCAAACAAAGAUUCCAUUUCGACCAUUCCUACACCACAACCCAUAUCCACUUGAUCCGAAUGCAUCUAAACCAAUCAAACUUUUCCAAUCACCCCAGAAUACAAAAAAACCUGAAAUUCCAGCCCAAAACACUUUCAUUUACCCUCAAUCAAACCAAGAUUCCAUUUCAAAGUCCCAAAUUGACCAGAUUCCAAGUCCACCCGAUUCGGGCCUAGCCGGCCCAAUCCAGCCUUACCAAUCACCUCAGAUUACCUAGAAAUCACACCUUGUGAAAUUUCACCCAGAACUGCAUUCAUUUGCCCCUUCAUCACACAAAGAUUCUAUUUCGAGCCUCUAGAUUAACCAAAUCAAAUCCUUUCCGGAUCUGUCCAAUCUGGGCCCAGUGGGGCCAAUCUGACCCCGCCAAUCAAAUCAGAAUGUCCAAAAACUCUACCCCAUGAAAUUUUAUUCAAAACUACUCCCAUUUGCUUCUUCUUCCAAAAUGAUUCCGUUUCGGCCAAUCUUACUAGCCCUCAUGCAUCAAAACCCUUCUCUGAAUUCAGGCUCAUCUCAACCCUUCAUUUUCUGACCCCAGAACCACCCAUUACCAAACUGAGAACCCGAUUCGACCUUUCGACCCGGUUUAACCCAGUUUGUUUAAAAUAACCAAAAUAUCCUCAUUUCUCCUCGCAAUUACAGAAUUACCCCUACCUCAUUAUAAAAGCCAAACCGAAACUUUCGAUUAAGGGGAUCAAAAGGGAGAAACAUUCGGAGGUCACUGUAGCUCAUCCCUUCCAUUCAAACUCAACCCAGAAGAGCGGCGGAGUGGCAGCAACCCCCAUCUCUGCCAGAAACUAGUUGCAGCGGUGGACUCGAAGACAACGGUGAUUCUUUGCCCCUCCGAUCUCUCUCUUCUCCCUCUCCUCUUCCAAGAUCGAACACCCGCCGGGCUUUUACUGUUCAUCAUCUUCUUCCCCAUUCGAACCAAGAAGCAACGGCGGUGGAGAAGUGAAAAACGGUGGCAUACCUCCCUCUUUCCCUCUCUCAGGCUUAUCCUCGUUUUUCUUUAUCUUCUUAUUCCCGCAUCUCCCCUGUUUGCUCCAUCGUCGCCGUUGCAAAUCUUCUUCUCUUUCUUCUUCCUCCAUUCUCCCUGUUCGUGUGAUUCCCCAGAUUUGCCUCACUCUAUUCACAGUUUCGGAAAGAUAUCAUGGCGAGGAGUUCUCCAUUUCUUCUCGGAUUUCUAAUGUCCCACACUAAAUUCACAUCUGAGAGAUCGCCCCCUUUUUGAUAAGUUAGCGGUCACGCCCCUCAGCCUUCGUCAUUCAAGCUCAAUCAAAUCUCUCCUAUUGCAAUAACAAAUCCAGGCCGAACAUAUCUCAGGUGAGAAGCAUCCUUCCAUUCAAGGACAAUCUGUUAGGUGAGAAGCAUCCUUCAAUGGCAGUGCAAAGGAUUAUGCAUUUAGGGAUGAUGGGGAAUUUGCAAAUUCAACACAAAAGUAGGAUUAUCAAAGGUUGUGAUGUUGCUGGACAUGCUAUUACAUGCUUAGAAAAAGGUGAAGGAACUCCUAUCAAACUUUCAUUAUCAUUUUUUUUCUUUCUUUUUAUUAUUUUAAUUUUAUUUUUUUUAAAUCAUGAUAUGCUUUGAUAUGAUUGGAAAUAAGAACACUGAUGAUGAUGAAGUGUACGUAUACUGCGGUGUAAUCAGAUUGAAAAUUAGUAAGAAUCAUGCUAUGCCAUGAUGCAAACAUACUCAAUAAUAAAA